GUCCUUCUUGUCCUGGUUGCUGUUCCCAUCUGAGUACCAGCUUCCCAUUGCCCUGAGGGUGGGCAGGCCUGCAAUGGAGGGAAAAAGGAAGAGGAGAAGGAAAUUGUCCCAGAUCCCUGCAGUGGGUCCAAGCCUCUCCUGGGUGGCCAGUCUUUCCGUAGGUUGCAGCACAAUGCCAGGCAAGAGAAACGGAAAGAAAUUAAUCCCAAUCGGUCAAGGUCGAUUUGAGGGUCUGCUGUAGCUGGUGGCUCUGCUUGAAGUGAGGGAGGAAGUUUCCUCUGAUCAGUAGAGAUUGGAAAGUUUGUUGGGAGUGGCACACCACCAGGGGAAAGAAGAAGGGGCGAACUGCUUAUCUUGAGGAGGUCAAACUCCAGAAUCAGCUGCUGUGGCUUUGAAGUGGCUGAAGAUGGUCACCCUCCACAGGCUUGUGCCCAGUCCCACAGCCUUCCUCCCCUAUCCUGAGGGACUACUGUAUUCCUUGGUCCCUGCUAUUGUCAGGGACGAUUGCAUGGGCUAUGCCAGGAAAGUAGGCUGGGUGACUGCAGGCCUGGUGAUUGGGGCUGGUGUCUGCUAUUGCAUUUAGAGACUGACUACAGGAAGAAAACAGAACAAGGAAAAAAUGGCUGAGGGUGGGUCUGGGCAUGUGGAUGAUGCCAGGGACUGUUCUGGGGCCAGGUAUAAUGAUUGGUCUGAUGAUGAUGAUGACAGCAAUGAGAGCAAGAGUAUAGUAUGGUACCCACCUUGGGGCUGCAUUGGGACUGAAGCUGGAACCAGAGCUAGGGUCAGGGCAAGGGCCAGGGCUACCCGGGCGUGUCGGGCUGUACAGAAAUGGGCUUCCCCUAAUUCAGAUGAUACCGUUUUGUCCCCUCAAGAGCUACAAAAGGUUCUUUGCUUGGUUGAGAUGUCUGAAAAGCCUUGUAUUCUUGAAGCAGCUUUAAUUGCUCUGGGUAACAAUGCUGCUUUUACAUUUAACAGAGAUAUUAUUUGUGACCUGGGUGGUCUCCCAAUUGUUGCAAAGCUUCUCAAUACUCGAGAUCCCAUAGUUAAAGAAAAGGCUUUGAUUAUCCUGAAUAACUUGAGUGUGAGUGCUGAAAAAUCAACACAUGCUUAAGGUAUGCAUGAAUCAAGUAUGUGACGACACAAUCACUUCUCACUUGAACUCAUCUGUGCAGCUGGCUGGACUAAGAUUGCUUACAAAUAUGACUGUUACUAACGAGUAUCAGCACAUGCUUGCUAAUUCCAUUUCUGACUUUUUUCAUUUAUUUUCAGCGGGAAAUGAAGAAACCAAACUUCAGGUUCUGAAACUCCUUUUGAAUUUGGCUGAAAAUCCAGCUAUGACUAGGGAACUGCUCAGGGCCCAAGUACCAUCUUCACUGGGCUCCCUCUUUAAUAAAAAGGAGGACAAAGAAGUUAUUCUUAAACUUCUGGUCAUAUUUGAGAACAUAAAUGAUAAUUUCAAAUGGGAAGAAAAUGAACCUACUCAGAAUCAAUUCGGUGAAGGUUCACUUCUUUUCUUUUUAAAAGAAUUUAAAGUAUGUGCUGAUAGGUUCUGGGAAUAGAAAGCCACCAUGAUUUUUUGGUGAAAGUAAAAGUUGGAAAAUUCAUGGCCAAACUGGCUGAACAUAUGUUCCCAAAGAACCAGGAAUAACUCCUUUAUUGUGUAGUUUAGAAGCAACACACAU